rnacentral:lncRNA from 13 species
AACUCACACACACACACGCACUCACUCAUGCACUCACACACACAGACAGCACCCUAGAGUCAGGCGCCCACUGAGCUGUCCUCUCAAAGUCAUGUCAAAUAUAAAGAGACGUCCACAGAAUUGUCCUGUCCCAGAGAAAGCCACAGAAACACAGGGAGAUGUACACUGAGAUGGUCACACUGCUCCCGGAUCUCUCUGCCUGGGUGCCCCGGUUCCUGGCCCUGGAUGGACAUUCUGUCCCCAGGGAGACAACCCCAGCCAGGGUUUCCUCUCCCCACCUCUCCUUUCCCAGGUACGCAGGCCCCCAGUACGUUUUCACCUCCCAUACUUCCUCCACAUCUGCCCCUUCUGGCCUGGGACCGGUGAGGACCCAAGAAUGAGGACAGUCUGUCAUUUUCCUGCAGCCUCCCCAGCCCCCAUGGCAGGAGCCACAAACCUCCUCAUUCCCUUCGCUAAGGGUUCACACCUCAUCCCAGUUCCUUGGAGAAGCUGGCAGCUCUUCUCAUUUUCCAGUGAGCUUGUGAAAACACAGAUUAGUCCAAUUAGGGAAAAGUCAUCAGAGGGCAAGGCGGGAGCCACCACCGAACCUAAUCGUCAGCUCCAGCAACGCAUGAUGAGGCAGACUCACAAACACACAAAUUCCGACGCAGGAAGAGGGGGGCUGGACGGGGGCAGUGAAACUGCCAUCACUGGAGAAAGGCAAGCUGUGCUUAGGCGACCUGAGAUUCCUCUGCUGGGAGAGAGGCUGAACUUGGUGAACCUGAAGCUUUCAUGUGAGGAAAGAGAAGUGAACUGAUGUCUACGUAAACCAGCUUCUAGAUUGACACUGAGUAUAAAGCUAAUGUAUUUACUACAGCUUUCAUCUAUAUUGAUUAAGAAUGUCGGCCGGGCGCAGUAGCUCAUGCCUGUAAUCUCAGCACUUUGGGAGGCCGAGACGGGUGGAUCACCUGAGGUCAGGAGUUUGAGACCAGCCUGACCAACAUGUAGAACCCUGUGCCUACUGAAAAUACAAAAAUUAGCCGGGCGUGGUGGUACACACCUGUAAUCCCAGCUACUCAGGAGACCGAGGCAGGAGAAUCCCUUGAACCCGGGAGGUGGAGCUUGUGGUGAGCCGAGAUCGCACCAUUGCACUCCAGCCUCGGCAACAAGAGCAAAACUCCAUCUCAAAACAAAAAAAAUUAAAAAGAAUGUCUCAUUUAUUCACCUGCACAUCAUGUUUUACUUGGCAUAAGUCUCAAUGUUACGUUAGUUGCUUACAGAGCGUAUGGAACUUGCUGUCCUGAGUUUAUUUACAAGUCAGUGCUUCAUUUAUGAGACUUUUGGCCCCUUAAGAACCUCCCCCUCCUUGAAAACUGCGACUGGUUCAUUAUGAGCAUCUAUUCAUAUAAUGGUGUUAAUGUGGUUAUCGUCUGUUUAUCUCUUUUAAUUAGGUCCUGAUGUGCCCAUAACAAUUUCACUUACUUUCUUGAUUUUAGCUGGAGGAGUGUGCGGUUUGGUGUGGGCUUGGUAAAGUGCCGCUGUCUGCUUCUCUCAAUCCACAUAUAGUAUCAUCUGUGCAGGUCGAGUUACUAUUUGAUAUGUCAGUUGUUCCCUUAUCUUGUUAGAUACCCCUGAUAAAAGAAUUCGCAGUCAUGAAUUUUCAUGGGAAAGAAUUGAGAAACAUAAAUGUUGUACCAUUUGGAAAGAUUGACAGACACGUUGCAGCAGCGUCUGAGUGUUGAUAAUAAGCUUAAUGGUAUUCAAAUAGCAGCUCUUUUUUUUUUUAGCUUUGAGCAGAUUUUUCAAACAUAAAGCAU